GCAGAUACCGAAACGCGUGGUUUUCAAAAAUAAAAUUUUCUCGCGAUUUUCGUGAUCUCAUGCUCUCAUCCCCCAAUAAUUUAGCUAGUUUUAACCCUUUAAAGGUUUUUGCCGUAUCUGUACGGCGGCGGUUUUCUGUCCCGCAAGGUCUUUGCCGUACGGGUACGGUUUCGAUCCUCCGUUUGAAAUUUCGGGCCAUAAUGACGAUGCAUACUCACCGGGAGGUGCUGCCACCUUUUAGGAAUUACAAGAAGCGUUUGACAUUUGUGCUACCUUCUUGCGGAGAUAAACAGAACUGAUUUCUAGUUUCAGCGCGUGCGUCGCGCAGACUGCGGCAACACCCCUUUUGCGGUUUCGGUUUCGCCGCGUGAUCGCAACGGAGGCGCGCCAAACGUGAGUUUUCUCUUUGUCGGCACUCUCUUGCAGGGGCGCGGAAGUUGAUUUCUAUCUUGAUUGGCGCUGUCUUAGCUUGUUUAUCAGCGCCGCUCACGAGGUAUUCUAGCUCUCUGCGGCAACGCGCUUACGCGGUUUCGGUUGCGCCGCGUGAUCGCAACGGAGGCGCGCCAAACGUGAGUUUUCUCUCUGUCGGCACUCUCUUGCAGGGGCGGCGGAAGUUGAUUUCUAUCUUGACUGUCGGCGUUUUUGGUGUGCAGACUGCGAUAAGGUGCUGUGCGUAGAACCGUGUUUCAAGGAAUACCACACUCUGAAAUAUUAUUGAACAUUUGGAGUUCUGAGUGAUUCCGACAUUAAAAUACUGUUUCUAAUUUUUUUUCCCUAUUUAUUCCCGACUUUAUACAUUUUGUACAUUCCAUAUCCGCAAUAAAGUAAUUUGACCAUCUGGGAAAGUUUUUUUCAAAAUAAUACGACCUUCAAAGGGUUAAUUGUGUUUCGAUGAUACGAAUUUCGGCUAAUACGAAUACUUUUCGUGACCCCGUGAGAUA